UCAUGGCAAAAUAAAUAAAUAAUAGCAAAAUGCUUCAUCUCCAAAUACAUAUGGGAUUGUAAACAAUUGUGUUUAGUCGUAAAACUGAAAAACAUAUGGAACUAUCAAGUCUUAUUUUAUAAAACUAUACGAAAAAUAAGCAGAUAGAAAAGAAUAUGAAUCAUCAUAUAAGCAUGUAAGUCCAACAUUGUUUUUCUUGUUUGGAAAUAUUUUCCAAACAAUUUUGGCCUUGAUUUUCUAAUUUAAUAAUCCCACGAUAUUGCUCUUAUAUAUAAAGUGGUGGAUUCUCCUACCAUGACAUUGAAAUGCUAGCAAACAAUUCAAACAUUUCAUUGCAAUGAAUAUGCAUUCCCUAACCUAAUUGGCACCAUAAAAAACAGAGAGCACCAAAUAAAAAGUAAACAUAUCAACAAAGACAUUUGUGAGAGAGUGUCCGUCAACAACAAAACGAUGUGAUGCAUAAAAAUACACUUGUUGAUUGAGAUAAAACGAAAGAAAGAAUCGCAAUAUAUAAGGAAAUUAUAUGAGAUUCAUUCACAUACUAUCUAUAUAUACAUAUUGUAAGGGUGACGUCAAUAGGAAAAAUGUAAACAAAAGAUAAUUGACAUCAUCACCAUUGUUGUAUUUUAUUUUAAUAUAGGUAAGACGUCAACAAUUAACUUUAGUUUUGCCAAAAUCAGAGAGAAAAUGCUGUAAUUUAAAUAAUCAGGUUAUGUCAAGCACAAAAAAAAUUGAUAAACAUUAUAACUGAUUUGUGUUGGAGAAUUAUUGAGCUUAGCAGCAACAACAACAAAGUGGAGCAGUCUAACCGGCGCGGCGGCAUUAUAUGAGAGUGAGAGAGUAAAAAAAAAAAACAAACAAGCACGUAAACAAAUCAAACCCAUAAUAAAAUCAACAACAAAGUCGUUUUUUUUUUGCUGAUUAAACAUACAAUAUGUAUUAAACCACCUCGCACACCCCACCUACAUGCAGGCUCACUGAGAGCCAAUCAACAAGCAAUAUAUACACAAUGCAAAGGUAACGAUAAGAACAUGAUAGAGGUAAUAAAUAUUUAUGGCAGACUUUGUAUUCAAUUGCAAUGCCAGUUACUUACUCUGGUUAAAAGCUCGAGCUGCAUGACCAUCCACUGCAUCCAGCAAGGCGCUUAUUGCAUAACACCAACCGGCUACAACAUAAUUGGUGGACAUGAACCAAAAUGCUAUUAAAGCCAACACGAUACGACCAUACCC